rnacentral:rRNA from 1 species
UACGGGGGGGGGCAAGCGUUGUUCGGAAUUACUGGGCGUAAAGGGCUCGUAGGCGCCUUCUAAGUCAGACGUGAAAUCCCCCGGCUUAACCUGGGAACUGCGUCUGAUACUGGAAGGCUUGAGUGCGGGAGAGGGAUGUGGAAUUCCAGGUGUAGCGGUGAAAUGCGUAGAUAUCUGGAGGAACACCGGUGGCGAAGGCGGCAUCCUGGACCGACACUGACGCUGAGGCGCGAAAGCUAGGGUAGCAAACGGGG